rnacentral:rRNA from 1 species
GUCUACGGCCACGCCACCCUGAACGAGCCCCAUCCCGUCUGAUCUCGGGAGCUAAGCGGGGUCGGGCCUGGUCGGUCCUUGGGUGGGAGACCACCUAGGAAGACUGGGUGCUGCAGGCG